UGUGCCUUCCAAGGACAGAGCGUUGCUAACCUCAAGCAAAUCUGUGCUGGGCUGGGGCUCAGUUUCCCUAUCUGUUAGAUGAGGUGUAGGUCAAGACCAGCAGGUUGCAAACUUCUGACUGUGAGCCACAACAAACACACUUGAUGUCAUAACCCAGGACACAUGACCACGUGCAACUGAACAGAACAACAUGCACGCUACUGCUUGUACCCUAUGUACCCUAACAACAUGUACCCUAUGCUGUCUGGUUCCUUCCAUUUAAAAAUGUGAAACUGACUGAAUGACCACUGACUACAGGAUCCACCCAGUCGUUGGUUCUGGCCCUGUCUUUCUAAGCAAUGUAUGGCCAAUAUUUGAGGUUGUUAUUAAGACUCAAAUAUUUCUCAAAACAGAAGAAUUUGAAGGCAAGAGUUUGAAAAGCAAACUCUUACCAUUUGAUGGAUGACCCAGCAGAGGCCAGCACCCAUGAGGCAGGGCUGAGGAGGUGGGUUCCCCAGCCAAUGAAUGUGUCCUCCCCAGACAGUGGCCUGCCCUGGGCCCCCGCUCAUUACCUUUUCAAGUGUUCCAGCAGGAAGAGGAAGGUGAUGAGGUUGGGGUCGGGCAGGGUGCGGAGCAGGUGCAUCAUGCAGUUUUCCUUGGCAGCAGGGUCUGACAGGGCUGUGGGGAGAGCGGAGCUAGGGUGGGGCUCAGCUCCCGGGUGGGGAGGCCUGAGCAGACCCUGUGGGGGAAUGAAGGGCCUAGUAUCUUCCCGGGGGUGGGCUAUGAACAGCUGAUUCCUGUGGAAGCCCCCACCUGUGACCUGUAACUCAGUCAGGAGGCCGGCUGGGGGGAGCAGGCAACUUUGGACCCCUCCUGCAUGGGCCUUCAUGGCUCUUGCCCUUUCCCGUCCCUGGUCUAGGAGGCUAAGUUUUAGGCAACGAGAACACUGCUUUGAACAUUUCCUCUCUUUCAGCUGCCUGUGAUGCUGGAGCAGGCAUUUAGCAGCCUUCCGUGGGGUUCCUCACUUCUUGUGGUGGCUGAAGCCCUGAUCUGCCCGAGGAGGAGGCAGGGGAGAGGCAGGGGAGAGGCAGGAGGGAAUGUGCCCAGGCCUGGAUUCAGCCCAGGAUGCUGGCCCUGACCACCCACCUCAGGGCACAUUUCCCUGGACACCAGGCUUUCCAAGCAAGGAGCCCACUAUGCACCGGGGAGCUAGCAAGAAAGCCAGGAACACAGGAGUAAGGAAGAGCUGAGGAGAAAGGAGGCUCAAAACCUAUAAGCUGGGUGACUUGGCCUCUCGGAGUCUCAGUUCCUCAUCUGCAGCAAUCGAUAAGGGACUGGAGGGGAGGCGAUGUCACAAGAAAAUACAGGCAGAGUCCUCGCAUCAGAGACUCCGAGAUGGCCCACCGCGUGGCACACUGAACUGUAGUUCACAGGACAAGGCUCCUUGGCCAUCGGCUACUUGGGGCCUCUCUGUGGACAAGGCCUCUGGUUCUCCUGCGCUCCCGGAGUGCCCUCUCCCCACCAGUGCCCAGGCAGGGCCUCCCACACUCACUGGCAUCAAAGACAGCCUUCAGCGCCUGGAUGUCCGUGGCCACCCCUGAUAUCCGGUAGAUGCCGACCUCCUCGAUACCCCUCUUCUCCACCUCCUCCACACACUGCCGCACGAUGUAGGGCACCUUGGAGCGCUCCCGCCUGUUGGGAGGGGCUGUGAGGGGUGGUGGAGGGCGUCCCCUCCCCUCCAUGGAGACCUCACAGCUCCCUCUCUGCAUCCCUGGAUGGCUCCUGCUUCCUCCAGGGUUGGGGCCUC